GAGCCUUGUUGACACUGUUUAUGCCUUGAAGGAUGAGGUGAAAGAACUGAAACAGGAGAAUAAAAGAAUGAAGCAAUGCCUGGAAGAAGAAUUGAAAUCAAGAAGGGACCUAGAAAAGCUCGUUCGGAGGCUGUUGAAGCAAACUGAUGAGUGUAUUCGGGCUGACUCCAGUAACAAGACCUCUAUUCUUCCAUAACCAUCACCGUGUACCUGGGCAGAGUGUGCCUUCAGUGCAUCUUAAAAUGUCCAUCUGAAUGAUUUGGCUCAGUUUGCUCACUUCCUUGGUUUUUAUUUUGUAUUUGAGUCAGCCCCCUUCCCUCUGUUUGUUUGUUUUUGUUUGGUUAUUGAUUGGUUGGUUACAUUUUUCCUGACAGGGAUAAAAGCAAGAGGUGGUGGUAGAAGUCUCCUCAGUGUUUUUUCUAUUCAAUAACAAAAGGAAAGCUAAUGUAGACAAAUGACUUAAUUGAUCUUCUGUUGGCCUUGAAUUCAUAGUGCCUCUUUAACAACCAUUAAUUACCCUUUUGGGGCUGGCUACAAUCACAAAGCUACUAGGCAUGGAUUAUUAAAGGUGAGUUUGACUUUCCCCCAAUGCUUUCCUGUAUGUGGAAGCCCCUCAGUACCAAAUUUACUGACAGCGAAGCUUUUUGAGUUAUGACUAGAGUAGUGAAAGACAAACACAUUAGCCCAAUGAUCCAGCUGCCUUUCCCUGGACCAUCAUUUGAUACCCCUCAAUGCACUUUUUUUUUAUUACUAUCCAAUGUUGUCUGUAAGACCAAGAAGACAGUAGCACCCUUCCUUUUGUGUUGGUUAACAUUUUAGUUCUGUGGGUCAAAAGCUUUAUGGGUCAUUCAUGCCAACACCAAAUCCAUUAGCAAACUGCACUGGACAGUCCUCCCUUCAGCAAUGGAGUUGACCACCUCUUCUCCAAUACAUAAUAGAAUUUUUCCCUAGCCUUCUGCCUCAUUGUGAGUUUUAUAUUUCCUCAGUGCUUUUUAGCCAACCAUACCAAGUGGUGUGUAAAGUAGUAUGCUUGAACUUUGCUUACUUAAAAAAAAUAUUGACUGUGAGCAGGUAUUAUAUCUACAUUGCAUAUUCAAAUUGCAACUUCUCAUCUUUAAAACAAUUUGCCAUUGAGGAGAUAUUGUAUCCCAGCAGACAGCUUUAAUUCACAUAUUGCUCUCCCAUAUAUGUUAUGAGAAACUUAAUAUUCAUCAGCCUCUAAGUAUUAUUUGUAGAAAUGUGCUAUUGGUCCAGUUUGUAUAUCCAGGGGGGGAAAUGUACUCCUCUAGUAGCUGUGUGUUGGUUACUAAUGAAGCAGAUUAUUUGGAACUUGUUUACUCAAGUUUCUCCUGGAAUCAAACAAUUGCCUUAGUAAGCAUCUCAGAAAUUAGAGCUGUGGCAUACCAGAUUUAGAAGAUGGUCACAGAAGAGUAGCAUACAUCCAAAUUACUCCCAAUUGAAAAAUCACUUCUCCCAAGGAAGUGAAAUUUGGCCAGGUGGGGAAGAUCAUUGGAAAAAGAGGCAAGGGGCCAGUGGACUGAUCAAAGCUGUCUUCUAGAUACAUUUGAAAGGUGCCUAUAAAUAUGGAUCUUGCAAAUAUUGUUUAGAAACCAAACUUGAAGCUUGAACCUCUCAGCUUCCUAAGCCCCUUUUCUUUCUAGUACUGGAGGUAUCAAGUUCUGAUAGCUGCACGGUAUGGGGCUGUUCACUGCUUGCUGCAUGGCAGAAAUGAACCAUUCACAGGAAAUAGACUAUUCCUGUUGUCCAACAUCAGCCAACCACACACAGCUGUCUUUGGAAGCUGAAGAGUGAAGAAGAUGUCAAAGAAUUGGCUCUUGUUCUGUUUUUAAGUACAACGGUUUAGGUACGCCACCCUUCACCUAAAAAUUAAAAACAACACAGAUCUUAGCAUUUGCUCUGUCUGUGGUUAGUCAAUGGCUUGCAAUAAAUGUGCAAACUAUAUCCAUAGGAAACAUUUUUGUGAUUGCAAAAUAUUUUAGUUGAUAAGGUAUAGCUUAAAAUAUUGAAAGGUCUUUAUUUUAAAGUGACAUGUAUAAAUGCAUGUUUUGGGGACUUGGUCCUUCUGAUGAGAGGCCCUCAGUUGUCUGGAUAAUGAAGCUUGUGCAGAGUGGUGUCCACACUCACACACUAAACAAUAAUAUAAAGGAAAUGAAGCCAUGUUAACCUGAGAGCAGUAUCUCCAUAGUUGUAUUGUUUACAAUACUCUAUAAAUGGGUUUCUGUUACCCUGUAAUUAAAUUGUUGCCCUUGGAGGCCUUUCAGUUCCUCUUCUGUCAUGUUCCUUCUUACACAGGCUCAAAUUUUCUAACUUGUUUUUAUUUUGAACUUUAAAAAUUGACAUUUUCAAAUAAAUGAGAAUAACAAUGCUUUAUAAAAUAA